rnacentral:tRNA from 1 species
GCCUGGCUGGCUCAAUCGGUAGAGCAUGUGACUCUUGAUCUCCAGGUUGUGAGUUCAAACCCUAUGUUAGGCU